rnacentral:rRNA from 1 species
GAUGAACGCUGGCGGCGUGCCUAAUACAUGCAAGUCGAGCGAACAGACGAGGAGCUUGCUCCUCUGACGUUAGCGGCGGACGGGUGAGUAACACGUGGAUAACCUACCUAUAAGACUGGGAUAACUUCGGGAAACCGGAGCUAAUACCGGAUAACAUGUUGAACCGCAUGGUUCAACAGUGAAAGACGGUCUUGCUGUCACUUAUAGAUGGAUCCGCGCCGCAUUAGCUAGUUGGUAAGGUAACGGCUUACCAAGACAACGAUGCGUAGCCGACCUGAGAGGGUGAUCGGCCACACUGGAACUGAGACACGGUCCAGACUCCUACGGGAGGCAGCAGUAGGGAAUCUUCCGCAAUGGGCGAAAGCCUGACGGAGCAACGCCGCGUGAGUGAAGAAGGUCUUCGGAUCGUAAAACUCUGUUAUUAGGGAAGAACAAAUGUGUAAGUAACUAUGCACGUCUUGACGGUACCUAAUCAGAAAGCCACGGCUAACUACGUG